GAUCUUUCCCCGGCGGCGACUCUGGACGCGCGCCGGGCCCUUCCCGUGGAUCCCUAGUGCGGCCGC
rnacentral:rRNA from 1 species